rnacentral:rRNA from 1 species
GACGAACCGAGCGAACGUUGUUCGGAAUCACUGGGCUUAAAGGGCGCGUAGGCGGGCUGGACAGUCCGGGGUGAAAUCCCCCCGCUCAACGGGGGAACGGCCUCGGAUACUUUCGGCCUGGAGGGGGGUAGGGGCGGGCGGAACUGUGGGUGGAGCGGUGAAAUUCGUAGAUAUCGGGAGGAACACCAGUGGCGAAGGCGGCGUCCUGGCCUAGAACUGACGCUGAGGCGCGAAAGCUAGGGGAGCAAACGGG